UUAUCAUUUCGCGAAAAUAUAAGCAGCUUCUGCAGAUCAUAGUUAUUUGUGUCUGUCAUCAAUCUUUGAUCUUAGCUUCCUAAUCGAAUAUGGCAAUUUACGAAGAGGAAAUAGCUGAAAAAUAUGAGAAGAUCGGCAAUAUAGUUAUAAUGGGAAUCGCCCUCAUUACUGUUGCAGCAGUCUUUAUUAGUGUUGUUGCAGAUGUAAGCAAGCCAAGAUUUUAAUUAAGAUCAGGCUUUGUUGCCUCUGAAAUCAAGAGUCAAACUGCCUUAACUUGCUUCAUUGUAUUACAAGAAAAGAGCUUCUAUUGCGCCGAUUUUAUAUUUGUCGCAAAAAAUCAGUAAUAGCAUCGAUAUUAUUUUGCUGAUGAAUUCCACCGCGAAGGUUAUUUUUUCAAUGAUUUUUGAGGUAUUGCGACGAACAAUUUUUGCCGGUAAUAAUAUUAUUGCAAAAGCUGUAUAUUUUCAGACUGUUGGGAUGAAUAUUGUUGUCGGUAAAUAAAGUUGCCUUAAAUAAGCAAUUACGUCAAAUUCAUUUGCCGAAAAUAUUAUCGUCAAAAUGUAUUGUGGCGCUUUUAAAGCUGUAUACGUUAGUCUGAUGCAAAAACAUAUAUAUUUAUUCUUUAGAGAAAACCUUUCAGCAGGAGCCUCCGUUAUUCUUCAACUAACGGAGUCAAAUGGCGACAUGCCACAUAGAAGCCACAUGAAAAAACAGAUAGACCGCACGGCAUAGGAUUUAAAAAAAAAAAAAAAAAAUUAUCUCUUCGUGCGACUCUGUCCUCCUUCCCCCACCCGGCACCCCCACCCCAAAAACUCUCUCUCUCUCUCUGUGCCAAUAAAGCCUUCGAGAAUCAGGGGCCACCGUCGACUCUGUUCCUUACUGCCGAUCUCGAAUUCUUUGUGAACCGAAACCCACUCCCGAUCUCGGAUUCCUCGUCAACCAAAACCACUUCGUGGUCCUUGCAUUGACAGCGAUGCUAGUUUUUCAAGCGAUAUGAAACACACGAAAGCCAUAUGAAGAGAUAUGAAACACACGAAAAAGCGAUAUGAAACACACUGACAGCGGUACUGGUUCAACUUCUUGGACUUCAAGAGCAAAAGACCAAGCUGAUUUGGAGAGACCAGUUUUAUUAUUGUCAUGGUUAUGUUUUGUUAUGAUUUGUGCUGUAAUUAUUUUGUAUUAAAUUUUGUAAUCCAAACUAGUACUUUUGAAAUGUAUCUACAUCUUUUUAAAUCUAAUGAAAGACUAAAUGUACUUCUCCACUAUGUAA